rnacentral:rRNA from 1 species
AUUGAACGCUGGCGGCAGGCCUAACACAUGCAAGUCGAACGAGUGGCGGACGGGUGUGUAAUGUCUGGGAAACUGCCUGAUGGAGGGGGAUCACUUCUGGAAAAGGUAGCUAAUACCGCAUACCAUCAUUUGUGCCCAGAUGGGUUUAGCUUGUUGGUGGGGUAACGGCUCACCACGGCGACGAUCCCUAGCUGGUCUGAGAGGGUGACCAGUCACACUGGAACGGAGACACGGUCCAGACUCCUACGGGAGGCAGCAGUGGGGAAGAUUGCACAAUGGGCGCAAGCCUGAUGCAGCCAUGCCGCGUGUAUGAAGAAGGCCUUCGGGUUGUAAAGUCCUUUCGGCAGGGAGGCGUUACCCGCAGAGGAAGCACCGGCUAACUCCGUGCCAGCCGCCGCGGUAAUUC